rnacentral:ncRNA from 1 species
CCUUCGAUCUCUGGAGAGCGGUCGCGGCGUGCAGGGCACGCGGGCGAUCCACCGAAGGGGCUGGCGGGAUCGACAUGGCGUGCGCGAGGCACACCGAUCCGCCGGGCAAUCUCUCAGGUACCAAGGACAGAGGGGUCAUC